GCACGUAGUUAGCCGGUGCUUAUUCUUCAGGUACCGUCAUUAGCAUUCCGUAUUAGGAAACACCGUUUCUUCCCUGACAAAAGAGCUUUACAACCCGAAGGCCUUCUUCACUCACGCGGCAUUGCUGGAUCAGGGUUGCCCCCAUUGUCCAAAAUUCCCCA
rnacentral:rRNA from 1 species